AGCAAGCGCACGAAGGCGUACACAGCUGCCGAGGACAAACUUCUUUGCGAGUGUUGGCGAGACAUUGGACAAGACCCAAAGACGGGCGCCGAGCAAAAGCAUUCGACCUUUUGGACUCGUGUGCACCGCAAGUUUCAUGAGCGCAAGAAGUUUCCACCUUACCAAUUUGUGAGCACGCGCGGGUGGGUCUCCAUUUCCAGGCGGUGGAGGGUGAUCCAACAAGAGUGCAACAAUUUUUGCGCCACCCUUGAGAGCGUCAAGGCCCGCCCCGUGAGCGGCAUCGGCGUGCAAGACAUGGUAUGA
rnacentral:rRNA from 1 species